CAGGGAAUCUUGCGCAAUGGGCGAAAGCCUGACGCAGCGACACCGCGUGGGGGAUGAAGGCCUUCGGGUUGUAAACCCCUUUCAGGAGGGAAGAAAUUGACGGUACCUCCAAAAGAAGGACCGGCCAACUACGUGCCAGCAGCCGCGGUAAUACGUAGGGUCCUAGCGUUAUCCGGAAUCAUUGGGCGUAAAGAGCUCGUAGGCGGUUCAGCAAGUCGGCUGUGAAAGUCCGAGGCUCAACCUCGGAAUUGCAGUCGAUACUGCUGUGACUUGAAUUCGGUAGAGGAGAAUGGAAUUCCCGGUGUAGCGGUGAAAUGCGCAGAUAUCGGGAGGAACACCAGUAGCGAAGGCGGUUCUCUGGGCCGAUAUUGACGCUGAGGAGCGAAAGCGUGGGGAGCAAACAGGAUUAGAUACCCCCGUAGUCC
rnacentral:rRNA from 1 species